rnacentral:rRNA from 1 species
AUGAGGCACUAUUUUAUGGAUAAUCCCGUGUACCGCGAGUCGAACUUCUGGCACCGGUUUAGGAUGAGCACCGAGUUGUUCAGGAGAAUUGCAGAGAAACUGGCGAGCCAUGAUCGAUUUUUUCAACAAAGGAGAAAAGACGCCGGAGAACUCGGGCAUAGCACCUUUCAAAAGGUGACAGCCGCUUUGCGUAUGUUGGCAUACGAUAUUCCUGAAGGAAAUAUGCCCUAG